rnacentral:rRNA from 1 species
AACAGAGGUCUCGAGCGUUAGGCGGAAUCACUGGGCUUAAAGCGUGUGUAGGCGGAGUUCUAAGUACCUUGUGAAAUCCCACGGCUUAACCGUGGAACUGCUUGGUAUACUGGUUCUCUUGGGCCACUUAGGGGCUACCGGAACAAACGGUGGAGCGGUGAAAUGCGUAGAUAUCGUUUGGAACGCCAAUGGUGAAAACAGGUAGCUGGGAGUGUGCCGACGCUGAGACACGAAAGCCAGGGGAGCGAACGGG